GCUGAGCAUUGUGGGGCAUGCUUGUAGUCCUAGCCACUUGGGAGGCUGAGGCAUGAGGAUCCCUUGAGCCCAGGAAUUUGAGACUAGCCUGGGCAACAUAGUGAAACUCUGUCUCAA
rnacentral:sRNA from 1 species